GCUUAUGCGUUGUUGGGUAGGGGAGCGUUCUGUAAGCCUGCGAAGGUGGCCUGUGAGGGUUGCUGGAGGUAUCAGAAGUGCGAAUGCUGACAUAAGUAACGAUAAAGCGGGUGAAAAGCCCGCUCGCCGGAAGACCAAGGGUUCCUGUCCAACGUUAAUCGGGGCAGGGUGAGUCGACCCCUAAGGCGAGGCCGAAAGGCGUAGUCGAUGGGAAACGGGUUAAUAUUCCCGUACUUGGUGUUACUGCGAAGGGGGGACGGAGAAGGCUAUGUUGGCCGGGCGACGGUUGUCCCGGUUUAAGCGUGUAGGCUGGUUUUCCAGGCAAAUCCGGAAAAUCAAGGCUGAGGCGUGAUGACGAGGCACUACGGUGCUGAAGCAACAAAUGCCCUGCUUCCAGGAAAAGCCUCUAAGCAUCAGGUAACAUCAAAUCGUACCCCAAACCGACACAGGUGGUCAGGUAGAGAAUACCAAGGCGCUUGAGAGAACUCGGGUGAAGGAACUAGGCAAAAUGGUGCCGUAACUUCGGGAGAAGGCACGCUGACACGUAGGUGAAGUGAUUUACUCACGGAGCUGAAGUCAGUCGAAGAUACCAGCUGGCUGCAACUGUUUAUUAAAAACACAGCACUGUGCAAACACGAAAGUGGACGUAUACGGUGUGACGCCUGCCCGGUGCCGGAAGGUUAAUUGAUGGGGUCAGCGCAAGCGAAGCUCCUGAUCGAAGCCCCGGUAAACGGCGGCCGUAACUAUAACGGUCCUAAGGUAGCGAAAUUCCUUGUCGGGUAAGUUCCGACCUGCACGAAUGGCGUAAUGAUGGCCAGGCUGUCUCCACCCGAGACUCAGUGAAAUUGAACUCGCUGUGAAGAUGCAGUGUACCCGCGGCAAGACGGAAAGACCCCGUGAACCUUUACUAUAGCUUGACACUGAACAUUGAGCCUUGAUGUGUAGGAUAGGUGGGAGGCUUUGAAGCGUGGACGCCAGUCUGCGUGGAGCCGACCUUGAAAUACCACCCUUUAAUGUUUGAUGUUCUAACGUGGACCCGUUACCCGGGUUGCGGACAGUGUCUGGUGGGUAGUUUGACUGGGGCGGUCUCCUCCUAAAGAGUAACGGAGGAGCACGAAGGUUGGCUAAUCCUGGUCGGACAUCAGGAGGUUAGUGCAAUGGCAUAAGCCAGCUUGACUGCGAGCGUGACGGCGCGAGCAGGUGCGAAAGCAGGUCAUAGUGAUCCGGUGGUUCUGAAUGGAAGGGCCAUCGCUCAACGGAUAAAAGGUACUCCGGGGAUAACAGGCUGAUACCGCCCAAGAGUUCAUAUCGACGGCGGUGUUUGGCACCUCGAUGUCGGCUCAUCACAUCCUGGGGCUGAAGUAGGUCCCAAGGGUAUGGCUGUUCGCCAUUUAAAGUGGUACGCGAGCUGGGUUUAGAACGUCGUGAGACAGUUCGGUCCCUAUCUGCCGUGGGCGCUGGAGAACUGAGGGGGGCUGCUCCUAGUACGAGAGGACCGGAGUGGACGCAUCACUGGUGUUCGGGUUGUCAUGCCAAUGGCACUGCCCGGUAGCUAAAUGCGGAAGAGAUAAGUGCUGAAAGCAUCUAAGCACGAAACUUGCCCCGAG
rnacentral:rRNA from 1 species